rnacentral:rRNA from 1 species
AAAUCUUUUUCUUACUAGGAUGUUUUGAAAAUUUUAGUUUAGUUAAUAAAAUCAUUUUUAUUCGUAAAAGUUUGUGUAUAGGUUAUAGAUAAAAUUAUGUGUGUAAUAGAUUAAUUGUAUUGUGAAAGGUUGAUUGAAAUAGGUUGAAAAUAUAAUUUAAGAAAAGUAGACUUAAUUUGUUGUACCUUGUGUAUCAGGGUUUAUUAAAAAGUAUAUAAAUAUUUAUAUUUCCCGAUUUAAAGAGAGCUAAUUAAUUAUGUUAGUUAAUGUAGAAUAAUUAUUAAUAAUAGUUAAUUAGUAAUGAAACGUUAUCCGUUCUUUAAGGUAUCUGGUUUUUUAAGAAAUGAAUUUAAUUCAGGUGCAAAAUAUUUCAAGUAUUUAAUUUAUAGGAAGUAAUUGUAGUUUUGCACUAAUGCUUUGAGGGAUAAGCUUCGGAGCAUAAUCUAUAAAGUAGAAUAAAAUAAAAAUCUUGUAGGCUUAGAAUUAGCCAACGAUAGAAGGAUGUUAUAAUUUAGUUUUUAUUUAAUAAAAUUUUCUGGAAGUUUAGAUAGUUCAUUAAAAUGUUACUUAUAAUAUUUUAAAGUUAGUAAUAAUGAUAAAAUUAGUAUAAAAAUUGUUUAUUAAUUAAAUGUAGUGUAAGGUUACAUUAAGGAAUUAGGCAAAUAAGUGCUCGCCUGUUUAACAAAAACAUGUCUUCUUGAUAAUAAUUUGAAGUCUGACCUGCCCACUGAACGUAAAGUUUAAAGGGCCGCGGUAUUUUGACCGUGCAAAGGUAGCAUAAUCAUUAGUCUUUUAAUUGGAGGCUAGAAUGAAUGGUUGGACGAGGCACUGACUGUCUCAGUGUAAAUGAGAGUAGAAUUUAACUUUUAAGUCAAAAGGCUUAAAUAGAUUUAAAGGACGAGAAGACCCUAUAGAGCUUUAUAUUGUCUUGUAUAUUAUUUAUUUAGACGAUUUUUUAUAGUAUAGGAGUUAGUAUUUUGUUGGGGUGACAGGAAGAUAAAUAAAACUCUUUUUAGUUUAAAACCAUUGAUUUAUGAAUUGUUGAUCCAUUUUUAGUGAUUAUAAGACUAAGUUACCUUAGGGAUAACAGCGUAAUCUUUUUCGAGAGUUCUUAUCGACAAAAAGGGUUGCGACCUCGAUGUUGGAUUAAGGGUAAUUUUGGGUGUAGAUGUUCAAAGUUUAGGUCUGUUCGACCUUUAAAUCCUUACAUGAUCUGAGUUCAGACCGGUGUAAGCCAGGUCGGUUUCUAUCCUUAAUUAAUAGUGAUGUUUUAGUACGAAAGGACCAAAUAUUGGGAAUAAAUUCUUAGUGAGUUGAUUUAUAUUAACAGGUGU